UUGGGCGUCGGCAAGUGGUUAAGCCACUGGGUUUUGAUCCCAGUAUCGCAGGUUCGAGUCCUGCCGCCCAAG
rnacentral:tRNA from 1 species